GGUGUUUAAGCCCGAUGGACAGCAAGAAGUGACCUCCAUGACCACAUGCCACCUCCCUCUGGGGGGCCCGAGGCCAUGGGACCAGGCAUCAUUUCCGCCAGCCUCCGUGUCCUCAUCUGCGGAGUGGGGCGAAGCCUCUCCCCGUGGGCAGCUGCCGGCUGGGAUGAGGUCAUGGGCAGACCAGCGAGGAAUGCAGUGAGUCCCUUCCUAGGAAGUCGGCCCCUGAGUCACCUGGAACAGACUGUGCUUCCUGCGGCGAGAGCGGCACUCAGAUCGCUGCGCGGCCCUUACAUCUCUGUCCUAAGAGCUCGUGUCAAAGGACAGCGCCUGCGACCAUGUCAAGUGGCCGCAACCGUGCGCAGGACACGCAUAUCUGAGGGAAGAAGCCGCGAUUGCCGCCGAGGGCCUGCCGCCCGGAUUGCUGUGUUCAUUCUCUUCUCCAUCCUCUGCCGCCCGGUGAUAACGCUCUAAGACGAGCAUGCGUUACUCUUACGAUAAUCUGAUGAAAAAGCAGCAUUAAAAAAAGAAAGACAAAG